GAUGAACGCUGGCGGCGUGCCUAAUACAUGCAAGUCGAGCGAACAGACGAGGAGCUUGCUCCUCUGACGUUAGCGGCGGACGGGUGAGUAACACGUGGAUAACCUACCUAUAAGACUGGGAUAACUUCGGGAAGCCGGAGCUAAUACCGGAUAAUAUAUUGAACCGCAUGGUUCAAUAGUGAAAGACGGUUUUGCUGUCACUUAUAGAUGGAUCCGCGCCGCAUUAGCUAGUUGGUAAGGUAACGGCUUACCAAGGCGACGAUGCGUAGCCGACCUGAGAGGGUGAUCGGCCACACUGGAACUGAGACACGGUCCAGACUCCUACGGGAGGCAGCAGUAGGGACUCUUCCGCAAUGGGCGAAAGCCUGACGGAGCAACGCCGCGUGAGUGAUGAAGGUCUUCGGAUCGUAAAACUCUGUUAUUAGGGAAGAACAAAUGUGUAAGUAACUAUGCACGUCUUGACGGUACCGAAGCAGAAAGCCACGGCUAACUACGU
rnacentral:rRNA from 1 species